AGAGUUUGAUCAUGGCUCAGAUUGAACGCUGGCGGCAUGCCUAACACAUGCAAGUCGAACGGUAACGCGGAGAGCUUGCUCUCUGGCGACGAGUGGCGGGCGGGUGAGUAAUACUUAGGAAUCUGCCCAUUAGUGGGGGACAACAUUCGGAAACGGAUGCUAAUACCGCAUACGCCCUACGGGGGAAAGCGGGGGAUCUUCGGACCUCGCGCUAAUGGAUGAGCCUAAGUCGGAUUAGCUUGUUGGUGAGGUAAAGGCUCACCAAGGCGACGAUCCGUAGCUGGUCUGAGAGGACGAUCAGCCACACUGGGACUGAGACACGGCCCAGACUCCUACGGGAGGCAGCAGUGGGGAAUAUUGGACAAUGGGCGCAAGCCUGAUCCAGCAAUGCCGCGUGUGUGAAGAAGGCCUGCGGGUUGUAAAGCACUUUCAGUAGAGAAGAAAAGCACAAGGCGAAUACCCUUGAGUCUUGACGUAACCUACAAAAGAAGCACCGGCUAACUCUGUGCCAGCAGCCGCGGUAAUACAGAGGGUGCGAGCGUUAAUCGGAAUUACUGGGCGUAAAGCGCACGUAGGCGGCUUGGCAUGUCGGGUGUGAAAUCCCCGGGCUCAACCUGGGAACUGCAUCCGAAACUGCCUUGCUAGAGUAUGGGAGAGGGAAGUGGAAUUUCCGGUGUAGCGGUGAAAUGCGUAGAUAUCGGAAGGAACAUCAGUGGCGAAGGC
rnacentral:rRNA from 1 species